rnacentral:misc_RNA from 1 species
GAUGAAGAACGCAGCGAAAUGCGAUAAGUAGUGUGAAUUGCAGAAUUCAGUGAAUCAUCGAAUCUUUGAACGCACAUUGCGCCCCUUGGUAUCCCGAGGGGCAUGCCUGUUCGAGCGUCAUUUCACCACUCAAGCCUGGCUUGGUGUUGGGCGACGUCCCCUUUGGGGACGCGCCUCGAAACGCUCGGCGGCGUGGCACCGGCUUUAAGCGUAGCAGAAUCUUUCGCUUUGGAAGUCGGGGCCCCGUCUGCCGGAAGACCUACUCGCAAGGUUGACCUCGGAUCAGGUAGGGAUACCCGCUGAACUUAAGCAUAUCAAUAAGCGGAGGA